GCGUUGUGAGGCGUUGAGCUAACUUGUACUAAUGACCCGUGAGGCUUAACCAU
rnacentral:rRNA from 1 species